GCCCUGCUGGCGCAAUGGUAGCGCGCGAGACUUCUAUAAGUAGGUUUCUAUUUAUAUGCCGGGUUAACGGCUGGUUCCAGAGAUCUCGAGGUUGCGGGUUCGAGUCCCGCGUGGGGUG